GACGUAGGGCGCGAGCGUUUGUCCGGAUUUAUUGGGCGUAAAGAGCUCGUAGGCGGCUUGUCGCGUCGUCCGUGAAAACUUGGGGCUCAACCCCAAGCUUGCGGUCGAUACGGGCAGGCUAGAGUUCGGUAGGGGAGACUGGAAUUCCUGGUGUAGCGGUGAAAUGCGCAGAUAUCAGGAGGAACACCGGUGGCGAAGGCGGCACUCUGGGCCGGUACUGACGCUGAGGAGCGAAAGCGUGGGGAGCGAACAGG
rnacentral:rRNA from 1 species